AUUGAACGCUGGCGGCAGGCCUAACACAUGCAAGUCGAGCGAGAGGCGGAGGGGGGCGUACUGUAUAGGGAAUGUGCGAGAGAGAGGGAUAACAAAUGGAAACGGUAUCUAAUACCGCAUACUAUCGGAUAACCCAUAUGGGGUUCUCUAGUAGGUGAGGGAAUGGCUCACCUAGGCGACGAUCCCUAGCUGGUCUCAGAGGAUGAUCAGCCACACUGGGACUGAGACACGGCCCAGAUGCCUACGGAGGCAGCAGUGGGGAAUAUUGCACAAUGGGCGUAAGCCUGAUGCAGCCAUGCCGCGUGUAUGAAGAAGGCCUUAGGGUUGUAAAGUACUUUCAGUAGGGAGGCGUUACCGACAGAAGAAGCACCGGCUAACUCCGUGCCAGCCGCCGCGGUAAUAC
rnacentral:rRNA from 1 species